GAUGAAGAACGUAGCGAAAUGCGAUAAGUAGUGUGAAUUGCAGAAUUCAGUAAAUCAUCGAAUCUUUGAACGCACAUUGCGCCCUUUGGUAUUCCAAAGGGCAUGCCUGUUCGAGCGUCAUUUGUACCCUCAAGCUUUGCUUGGUGUUGGGCGUCUUGUCUCUAGCUUUGCUGGAGACUCGCCUUAAAGUAAUUGGCAGCCGGCCUACUGGUUUCGGAGCGCAGCACAAGUCGCACUCUCUAUCAGCAAAGGUCUAGCAUCCAUUAAGCCUUUUUUUCAACUUUUGACCUCGGAUCAGGUAGGGAUACCCGCUGAACUUAAGCAUAUCAAUAAGCGGAGGA
rnacentral:misc_RNA from 1 species